GUCUUCGUGAGCAUGUUUCCUCUUGCUGCCCAUGAUCUUCUGUGACUGUGUCAUCAACUGUGUGAAGGAUAUGAAAAAAACAAACAACCCCAACGUAAUUCAGUUGUGAUAUUUCACUUUCAACUAUUAAAGCACACAAUUUAAUAACACAUUUAAUGCUGUUGACCACCUGCUGGACCUCCGGAGGUAGACUGCAGCUUGAGUGCUCCAGGAACUUGGCCACCAGCACUUUGGUGUCUUUAGAAAACAGAGAUAAGGUGCAACCUUGAUCACAGGGAGUCUGUGGAGAGUCCUCAGGUGGAUGUUUAGAAGCAGGAGCACAAGGGUCACCUGCAAGUGAAGUCACAUGCUCAGUUUUCCAGAUUGCUCAUGGGUUAUUAAUGACUUAAUAUGAUGCUGUAUGAUAUGAUGUGCAAAGAUCAUAUAUUUUCCUCUAACUACAAUAAAGCAAUGAUUGUAUAAACUCAGCAUGUUACACAUAUGUGGUUUUCAUAAGGAGCUUAAUGCGGUUUAUUGUCAUUUUAGACCCCAGAUAAACAAAAAUUUCCCAUUUGUAGUUAUGAAACUGAGUUUUCACUGAUUUUAGCCCUGAGUUAUUAAACCAUGCACUUAAGAAGCUUCAGUCCUACUUUUGUGGCAUUAA